CUUGAUUUCGCUCCUACAGUGUCGUUCUUCUUCCCCUUCGAUUUCGCUCCAAACUUCAGAAGGAUCAAUGGAGAAAGGAAAGAGAAAAUCAUUAGAAGGAUCAACAUCUGGAAAAAAGCAUAAAAAGCUCAAGGAAAAAUGUAUUAAUUGUUCCAGAAAGUGAAUGGACAAACCCAUUGAAAGGCAGCUCCUUCAUAACUUUAGAAGUCUUAUCUAACACAGGAAAAUUAGAUGAGCCAUCACUCCAACAAUUUAAGGAAGGUCCUUUUGGGCACUUCUUAGAUAUGAAAAUGAAAAGGGUACCCAUCCAUCUCAUAUCACAUCUAAUUAGAAGGCAAUGCAUGACUACGAAACAAAAUAUCUUGGUCUUUAAUUUAGAAGGACAUAUUUCAAAAUUCGGCCUCAAGGAUUUUUAUUUAGUAAUAGGUUUAAAUUGUGAUGAUUACCCUGUAGAUGGUAUGUAUAGUGAAAAAGAAUCGAUGGAUAACACAAUUAGAAACUUCUUUUUCAAGAAAAAUACGAAAUUAUGAGGAGAAAGCUCCAACCUACUUUUAAUUUAUUAAGUUAUGAUGCCAAUAUACCCAUUGAUAUAAAAGGUCAAACUUGCACACUUGUAUUUUGUAGAAAGCUUUCUAAUUCCUACACAAGGACAUAACAAAGUAAGUUGGAAGUAUUUAAAAAUGUUGGAUGAUGAAGAAAAGUUUAAAUCUUAUCCAUGGGUUUCCUUUGAACUAACUAUAGAGUUUUUAAAAAAAUCUGUCAUUAAUAAGCCAUCUUCCAUUUUCCUCCAAGGAUUUUCAAGGCUUUGGUAUAUUGGACUUUUGAAAUUAUACCAAGAUUAUCCAACCCCACUAUUGGGUUUGCACGAAGAAUAAAAAGUGAUGGACCUAGACUUACUCAAUGGGAAUCUCAAGAACCUAAUGAUUGGCAACACAUCAAUAGCAAUAUUUUCAAAGGCAUUGGUAAACAAGGGAGAUGGAUAUUGAAAAGGAAAAAGAAAAAGAAGGAAAACAAAUGUCAACUGGGAGAAAAAUUGUAUCAUUACAAGAAGGAAUUGAAUAAUUAAAAAAAUGACAAGAAGACAUCAAGAAGGACAUCCAUGAAAAAUUGCAUCAUUACAAGAAGAAAUUGAAGAAUUAAAAAAAGGAAAAGAAGACAUCAAGAAGGACAUCCAUGAAAAGCACAAGGAGAUUCUUGACAUAGGAACACAUAAAAGAAGCUAUCAGUGAUAAACUUCCACAAAAAGAAGAAGAUGACGAAAAGCAAUAUCAAGAAUCGCUUGAAAAGAACAAAGCACCAUCAUCUAGUUUAGAGCUUUUAGAUGCAAGUUUGGAAGUUUUAGAGGCUGAAGCUGAAACUGCUAAGGACAAUGAGGCUCGAAAAAAGGUGUUCAAGAGAAUGACUAGCAAAAACAAUUGCAAGAUGAAUAGAAAGAUCUCGAAGAUCAAGAGGAAGAUCAAGAAGAAAAGGAAGAGAAUGUAGAUAAAGAAGAUAUGACCAAAAAGAAUGUUAUAUAUAUAGACCAAAGGCUGCGGUUGAAAAUAUGAGGAGCUUGUUAUUGAUAAGAGACCAAAAAGACAAGCAAAACCAACCAAGAAAAUUUUGGAGAACGAAAAAAAACCCAAAAAAAAAAA